GGAAGCGUAAUGAAUCGAGAGGUUCCCGUUACGUUUUGCGAGGGGCUGGAGGGGAAGUUCCGCCGGUCUACUCACC
rnacentral:ncRNA from 1 species